AAGUUGCUGGCAUCUGCCAGCCGAGACCGUCUGAUCCACGUGUUAGAUGCAGAGAGUGAUUACAGUCUGCUCCAAACCCUGGAUGAACAUUCCUCCUCCAUCACUGCUGUCAAGUUUACAGCAAACGGUGGCAGUGUCAGGAUGAUCACCUGUGGAGCAGACAAGAGCAUUUACUUCCGGACAGCUCAGAAGACCGCUGAAGGCACACAGUUCACCCGAACCCACCAUGUGGUUCGAAAGACGACGCUGUAUGACAUGGAUGUGGACUCCACCCACAAGUACGCAGCCAUUGGAUGCCAGGACAGAAGCAUUCGGUGA